rnacentral:rRNA from 1 species
GAGUUAGUGUGCUAGAAUGUUAGAGGUCUUAACAAUCCGGCCAAGAGGAAGGCGCUUAGAGGAUUUGUGGAAUCUGCCCGCGCGAUGAUUGUUUGUAUUCUAGAAACUAAAUUAGAAGUGGUGGACAUUUAUGUAAUCUUGCAAUGCAUGGGUCUGAGCUAUGAUGGUUUCACUUAUCUGCCGGCUUCCGACACUAGAGGAGGCAUUUUCGUGGCUUGG